rnacentral:rRNA from 1 species
AUUGAACGCUGGCGGCAGGCCUAACACAUGCAAGUCGAGCGGAUGAAGGGAGCUUGCUCCUGGUUUCCGCGGCGGACGGGUGUGUAAUGCCUAGGAAUCUGCUCGGUAGUGGGGGAUAACGUCCGGAAACGGGCGCUACUACCGCAUACGACCUGCGGGAGAAAGUGGGGGAUCUUCGGACCUCACGCUAGCAGAUGAGCCUAGGUCGGAUUAGCUAGUUGGUGGGGUUAAGGCCUACCAAGGCGACGAUCCGUAACUGGUCUGCGUGGAGGGUCAGUCACAUGAGAAGGGAGACGGGGACAAGACGCCUACGGGAGGGACCAGUCGGCAACAUUGGACAGUGGGCGAAAGCCUGAUACAGCCAGGCGGCGUGUGUUGAAGAAGUCUUCGGAGUGUAAAGCACGUUAUGGGGUGAGGAAGGGCAGUAAGUUAAGACCUAGCGUGAGUGACGGUACCAACAAAAGAAGCACCGGCUAACUACGUG